CCUACGGGAGGCAGCAGUGGGGAAUAUUGGGCAAUGGGCGCAAGCCUGACCCAGCAACGCCGCGUGAAGGAAGAAGGCUUUCGGGUUGUACACUUCUUUUGUCAGGGAAGAGUAGAAGACGGUACCUGACGAAUAAGCCACGGCUAACUACGUGCCAGCAGCCGCGGUAAUACGUAGGUGGCAAGCGUGGUACGGAUUUACUGGGUGUAAAGGGCGUGUAGCCGGGUUGACAAGUCAGAUGUGAAAUCCUGCGGCUUAACCGCAGAACUGCAUUUGAAACUGUUGAUCUUGAGUACUGGAGAGUCAGAUGGAAUUCCUAGUGUAGCGGUGAAAUGCGUAGAUAUUAGGAGGAACACCAGGGGCGAAGGCGGUCUGCUGGACAGCAACUGACGGUGAGGCGCGAAAGCGUGGGGAGCAAACAGGAUUAGAUACCCGAGUAGUC
rnacentral:rRNA from 1 species